rnacentral:snRNA from 1 species
GUGCCCGCUUCGGCAGCACAUAUACUAAAACUGGAACUAUACAGAGAAGAUAGCAUGGCCCCUGCACAAGGAUGACGCGCAAAUUCAUGAAGCGUUCCAUAUUUCU